rnacentral:rRNA from 1 species
UACAGAGGUCCCAAGCGUUGUUCGGAUUCACUGGGCGUAAAGGGUGCGUAGGUGGUGAGGAAAGUCGGAUGUGAAAUCUCCAAGCUCAACUUGGAAACUGCAUUGGAAACUACCUUGCUAGAGGAUUUGAGGGGGGGAUUGGAAUACUUGGUGUAGCAGUGAAAUGCGUAGAUAUCAAGUGGAACACCAGUGGCGAAGGCGAAUCCCUGGAAAAUACCUGACACUGAGGCACGAAAGCUAGGGGAGCAAACAGG